UACGUAGGGUGCAAGCGUUGUCCGGAAUUAUUGGGCGUAAAGAGCUCGUAGGCGGCUUGUCGCGUCGUUCGUGAAAACCCGGGGCUCAACUCCGGGCUGGCGGUCGAUACGGGCAGGCUGGAGUUCGGUAGGGGAGACUGGAAUUCCUGGUGUAGCGGUGAAAUGCGCAGAUAUCAGGAGGAACACCGGUGGCGAAGGCGGCUCUCUGGACCACAACUGACGCUGAGGCGCGAAAGCUAGGGGAGCAAACAGG
rnacentral:rRNA from 1 species